AUUGAACGCUGGCGGCAUGCCUUACACAUGCAAGUCGAACGGUAACGCGGGGCAACCUGGCGACGAGUAGCGAACGGGUGAGUAAUGCAUCGGAACGUGCCCAGUAGUGGGGGAUAGCCCGGCGAAAGCCGGAUUAAUACCGCAUACGACCUACGGGCGAAAGGGGGGGAUCGCAAGACCUCUCGCUAUUGGAGCGGCCGAUGUCAGAUUAGGUAGUUGGUGGGGUAAAGGCCUACCAAGCCGACGAUCUGUAGCUGGUCUGAGAGGACGACCAGCCACACGGGGACUGAGAGACGGCCCAGAAUCCGACGGGAGGCAGCAGUGGGGAAUUUUGGACAAUGGGCGCAAGCCUGAUCCAGCCAUGCCGCGUGCGGGAAGAAGGCCUUCGGGUUGUAAACCGCUUUUGUCAGGGAAGAAAUCUUCUGAGUUAAUACCUCGGGAGGAUGACGGUACCUGAAGAAUAAGCACCGGCUAACUACGUGCCAGCCGCCGCAGUAAUAC
rnacentral:rRNA from 1 species